GUUAACGGCCGCGGUAUUUUGACCGUGCAAAGGUAGCGCAAUCACUUGUCUUUUAAUGAAGACCUGUAUGAAUGGUGAAACGAGGGCUUAACUGUCUCCCCCCCCUGGUCAGUGAAAUUGAUCUAUCCGUGCAGAAGCGGAUAUACUUCUACAAGACGAGAAGACCCUUUGGAGCUUAAGAUAAACCCAACUAUGUCAAAAAUCAAAAAAGACUUAAACCAAAUAGCCCUGGUACUAUCUUCGGUUGGGGCGACCACGGGAGAAAAAAGAGCUCCCAUGAGGAUUGGGGUAAUCCCCUGAAACUAAGAGAGACAUCUCUAAGGCACAAAAUAUUUGACCAUUGAUCCGGCCAUACGCCGACCAACGAACCAAGUUACCCUAGGGAUAACAGCGCAAUCCCCUUUCAGAGUCCAUAUCGACAAGGGGGUUUACGACCUCGAUGUUGGAUCAGGACAUCCUAAUGGUG
rnacentral:rRNA from 1 species